UCCCUGGCAGUCCAGUGGUUAGGACUCCAUACUUCCAUUGCGGCAGGCAUGGGUUCAAUCCCUGGCUGGGGAA
rnacentral:tRNA from 1 species